CUCAGCUUAAUUGGGAAAAGGCUCAGUGUCUGAAGAAAGCCAUGAAAGGAGAGUCUGUUCUAGGAAAAGAAUCCUUGUGUUUUGCAAAUCAACGAUAUUUAGUGAUAGGUAAAACUCUAGGGGGCCUGGAGGCUGUACGGUUUAAAUUAGUACUCAAAGGUUUGGAGAAAAAUGUGAACUAUAUGAAUACUGAGUAGGAAAAAAAUUGCCCAAAUGGGUUCACUUAUGAGAUUUCUGGUAUUUCCUUCUCUGGUCAAGAGGAAAUGCCAAGAGAAGGACUGCAGUAUUUCAGGACUUCUGUGUGCGUCGUCCAGCUUCCCAUGAUAAGUUGACAUCACAGGCAAUUAAAAAGGAAAACUCUUUGGUGGAGAACCAGGGGACAAAUGUUCACUCUGCUCACCAACAGGGGAGACUCACAACAUCUAAAAGAAGAAGUGGAUAACUAAGCUCAUCCAAGCUGGAAUAACUGAAGGUGCCAGUGUGACUGCUGGGUUUGACAAUGGUGAUAUUCACAGGCAAGAAGAACUGGAAUUGUCAGCAAGCAACUAGAGAAAGGAACCUUUCAGAACCUGAAGACUCAGUGACUGCUUUUGCUAUCAGUAAUAAAGUCCAUUUUCUGUGAUCCUGGAGUCUUGUUUCCUCUGCCAGUGCCCUUGAAGUGAGUGAGCUAGCUGUGUGUGCAGCCAAGGGGAAAAGACAGAUUUAAGGUAGCAUCCCAAAUCCUGCAUGGUCAUUGGUAAGAGAAAGGCAAGGAUCCAAGUUGGAAACACAGACUGCAUUGCUGGCAAGAAGAGUCUAUAACCCAUUUCCCUGUUGUAUACAGUCUUCUGGGGAGAUUUGUGAAGGGUAGACA